AUCGAACGCUGGCGGCAUGCCUUACACAUGCAAGUCGAACGGCAGCACGGGUGCUUGCACCUCGCGGCUAGUGGCGGCCGGGGGACUAAUCCAUCGGAACAUGUCCUGUAGUCGGGGAUAGCCCGGCGAACGCCGGAUUAAUACCGAACACGAUCUUCGGACGAAAGCGGGGGCCCUCCGGGCCUCGCCCUAUUGGGUUGGCCGAUGUCUGACUAGCUAGUUGGCGGGGUCAAGGCCUACCAAGGCGACGAUCAGUAGCUGGUCUGAGAGGACGACCAGCCACCUUGGGAGUGAGACACGGCCGCGACACCUGCGGGAGGCAACAGUGGGGAAUUUUGGAGAAGGCGCGAAUGCCGGAUCCAGCAAAGCCGCGUAUGUGAAGAUGGAGUACUGCCUCUAGAGCACUUAUGGCCGUAGAGUAAUCCUGGACUCUAACCCAGGCUGGGGAUGACGGUACCGGAAGAAUAAGCACCGGCUAACUACGUG
rnacentral:rRNA from 1 species